GUGUUCAUUUCAACAGUACACAUACUAAGAUUGAAAUGAUACAGAGAAGAUUAGCAUCAUCCCUGCCUAAAGAUGAUGACAAAUUCGUGAAUCACUCCACCACUGC
ensembl:snRNA U6 U6 spliceosomal RNA